rnacentral:misc_RNA from 1 species
GAUGAAGAACGCAGCGAAAUGCGAUAAGUAAUGUGAAUUGCAGAAUUCAGUGAAUCAUCGAAUCUUUGAACGCACAUUGCGCCCGUCAGUAUUCUGGCGGGCAUGCCUGUUCGAGCGUUAUUACGCCCCUCAAGUCCCCUGUGGACUUGGUGUUGGGGAUCGGCGAGGCUGGUUUUCCAGCACAGCCGUCCCUUAAAUUAAUUGGCGGUCUCGCCGUGGCCCUCCUCUGCGCAGUAGUAAAACACUCGCAACAGGAGCCCGGCGCGGUCCACUGCCGUAAAACCCCCCAACUUUUUAUAGUUGACCUCGAAUCAGGUAGGACUACCCGCUGAACUUAAGCAUAUCAAUAAGCGGAGGA